rnacentral:rRNA from 1 species
AAAUUGAAGAGUUUGAUCAUGGCUCAGAUUGAACGCUGGCGGCAGGCCUAACACAUGCAAGUCGAACGGUAACAGGAAGCAGCUUGCUGCUUUGCUGACGAGUGGCGGACGGGUGAGUAAUGUCUGGGAAACUGCCUGAUGGAGGGGGAUAACGUAC